GAUGAACGCUGGCGGCGUGCCUAAUACAUGCAAGUCGAGCGAACAGACGAGGAGCUUGCUCCUUUGACGUUAGCGGCGGACGGGUGAGUAACACGUAGGUAACCUACCUAUAAGACUGGGAUAACUUCGGGAAACCGGAGCUAAUACCGGAUAAUAUUUCGAACCGCAUGGUUCGAUAGUGAAAGAUGGCUUUGCUAUCACUUAUAGAUGGACCUGCGCCGCAUUAGCUAGUUGGUAAGGUAACGGCUUACCAAGGCAACGAUGCGUAGCCGACCUGAGAGGGUGAUCGGCCACACUGGAACUGAGACACGGUCCAGACUCCUACGGGAGGCAGCAGUAGGGAAUCUUCCGCAAUGGGCGAAAGCCUGACGGAGCAACGCCGCGUGAGUGAUGAAGGUCUUCGGAUCGUAAAACUCUGUUAUUAGGGAAGAACAAACGUGUAAGUAACUGUGCACGUCUUGACGGUACCUAAUCAGAAAGCCACGGCUAACUACGUG
rnacentral:rRNA from 1 species